GUCUACAGCCAUGCCACCCUAAACAAGCCCAAUCCCAUCUGAUCUCGGAAGCUAAGAGGGUCGGGCCUGGUUAGUACUUGGAUGAAAGACCACCUAGGAAGACCAGAUACUGUAGACG
rnacentral:rRNA from 1 species